UCCGGUUUGUCACCGGCAGUCUCAUUAAAGUGCCCAACUGAAUGAUGGCAAUUAAUGACAAGGGUUGCGCUCGUUGCGGGACUUAACCCAACAUCUCACGACACGAGCUGACGACAGCCAUGCAGCACCUGUGUUCUGGCUCCCUUUCGGGCACUCCCAAAUCUCUCCAGGAUUCCAGACAUGUCAAGGGUAGGUAAGGUUUUUCGCGUUGCAUCGAAUUAAUCCACAUCAUCCACCGCUUGUGCGGGUCCCCGUCAAUUCCUUUGAGUUUUAAUCUUGCGACCGUACUCCCCAGGCGGCCAACUUCACGCGUUAGCUUCGUUACUAAGGAAGUCUCCUUCCCCAACAACUAGUUGGCAUCGUUUAGGGCGUGGACUAC
rnacentral:misc_RNA from 1 species